rnacentral:lncRNA from 1 species
CCACCUGCAACAACCCACGAGUCGCGAACACUCCGACGCGACCUCCGCAACGCACCACCGCGACGCCCCACCUGCUGCAACGUGACGCCACCACCGCACCACCUACAGCAACUGCAGCAACUUGCGACGCCACCACCACCACUGCAACUUGCGACGCGACCACCACCACUGCAACACACAACUCAAUCUAUCGCUGCUACACUUCACAAAACAGAACGGAAACACAAAACGAAACGCAAAAACCCUAAGUUUUUUGAUUUCAUUCAGGCCCCCAUUCAAAACGACAUAGUUUUGUUUUUUUUAAAAAACCCAGCUGGACUCGCCAACUCGGACCAGAGUCGCGAGUCCACACCGAGUCUACCGAUUCCACACCGAGUCCACCGAGUUUAGCUCAAAACCGAGUCUGCUACCGAGUUAACUCGGUAAGGCAAAGUAGAAACGUGAACUCGGACAAGUCAACGAGUUGACUCGCGAGUUUGACAACCAUGCAA